CCUACGUGAGGCUGCAGUGGGGAAUAUUGCACAAUGGGGGAAACCCUGAUGCAGCAACGCCGCGUGAGUGAAGCAGUAUUUCGGUAUGUAAAGCUCUAUCAGCAGGGCAGAAAAUGACGGUACCUGAGUAAGAAGCCCCGGCUAACUACGUGCCAGAAACCGCGGUAAUACGUAGGGGGCAAGCGUGAGCCGGAUUUACUGGGUGUAAAGGGAGCGUAGACGGCGAUGCAAGUGUGAAGUGAAAGCCCGGGGAUCACCCCCGGGACUGCUUUUGAAACUGUAUGGCUGGAGUGCUGGAGAGGCAAGCGGAAUGCCUAGUGUAGCGGUGAAAUGCGUAGAUAUUAGGAAGAACACCAGUGGCGAAGGCGGCUUGCUGGACAGUAACUGACGUUGAGGCUCGAAAGCGUGGGGAGCAAACAGGAGUAGAUACCCGAGUAGUC
rnacentral:rRNA from 1 species